rnacentral:rRNA from 1 species
AUACGGAGGGUGCAAGCGUUGUUCGGAAUUAUUGGGCGUAAAGAGCAUGUAGGCGGACUAUUAAGUCUGGUGUGAAAGCCCGGGGCUCAACCCCGGAAGUGCAUUGGAUACUGGUAGUCUUGAGUAUGGGAGAGGAAAGUGGAAUUCCGAGUGUAGGAGUGAAAUCCGUAGAUAUUCGGAGGAACACCAGUGGCGAAGGCGGCUUUCUGGACCAAUACUGACGCUGAGAUGCGAAAGCGUGGGGAGCGAACAGGAUUAGAUACCCUAGUAGUCC